GUACUUCAAGGAUGAUGUGGAGCAAACGGCGGCAACGGCGGCCAUUUUCCGAACUUGGGGUGGUGGAAAUACUUGGGAGGAAGCUUGGGAAGCGGAGGGCACGGCUUCUUCGUAAAUGGAGGAAUCUUCGGAAGAGGAGGAAGUGGCUUGUGAGGAAUAGGAGGGAAGGGUUUCGGUUUGUAAAUAGGAACCGGCGGUGGAAGCGGCUUCUUAUAAACCGGCACCGGAUGAGGCUUAUAAACCGGUGGUUUGUAGACAGGAACCGGCGGUGGAAGCGGCUUCUUGUAGACCGGCACCGGAUGAGGCUUAUAAACCGGUGGUUUGUAGACAGGAACCGGCGGAGGGAGUG
rnacentral:lncRNA from 1 species